rnacentral:rRNA from 1 species
GAUGAACGCUGGCGAGAUGCCUUACACAUGCAAGUCGUACGGGGAUUUUUAACUCUAGUGGCGGACGGGUGAGUAACACGUGAGAAUUUGCCUUUAGGAGGGGGACAACAAUUGGAAACGAAUGCUAAUACCCCAUAUGCUUUCGAGUGAAAUGGAUUUUAUCCGCCUAGAGAGAAGCUCGCGGCUGAUUAGCUUGUUGGUAAGGUAAGAGCUUACCAAGGCGACGAUCAGUAUCUGGUUUGAGAGGACGAUCAGACACACUGGAACUGAGACACGGUCCAGACUCCUACGGGAGGCAGCAGUGGGGAAUUUUCCGCAAUGGGCGAAAGCCUGACGGAGCAAUACCGCGUGAGGGAAGAAUGCCUAUGGGUUGUAAACCUCUUUUUUCAGGGAGGAAUAAAAUGACGUGUACCUGAAGAAUAAGCAUCGGCUAACUCCGUG